CNNGGAGGGCAAGUCUGGUGCCAGCAGCCGCGGUAAUUCCAGCUCCAAUAGCGUAUAUUAAAGUUGUUGCAGUUAAAAAGCUCGUAGUUGAAUUUCGGGAUCAGUACGCUGGUCAUGCCUUUGGUAUGCACUGGUGUCACUGGUUUCUCCCUUCUGAAGAACCGUGAUGUCAUUAAUUUGGUGUCGCGGGGAAUCAGGACUGUUACUUUGAAAAAAUUAGAGUGUUUAAAGCAGGCUCACGCUUGAAUACAUUAGCAUGGAAUAAUGAAAUAGGACGUUUGACCCUAUUUUGUUGGUUUCUAGGAUCGACGUAAUGAUUAAUAGGGAUAGUUGGGGGCAUUAGUAUUCAAUUGUCAGAGGUGAAAUUCUUGGAUUUAUUGAAGACUAACUACUGCGAAAGCAUUUGCCAAGGAUGUUUUCAUUAAUCAAGAACGAAAGUUAGGGGAUCGAAGACGAUCAGAUACCGUCGUAGUCUUAACCAUAAACUAUGCCGACUAGGGAUCGGAUGAUGUUA
rnacentral:rRNA from 1 species